UUGCCCAGCUCUGUUUCUUUGGAGAUUCUAGUCCCUCAAGAUGCUCUGCCUUGCAACUUUGCAUGCAGCCCAAGUGCUUUAGCAUUCACAAGCACUCUUCACCCUAAAUUCUUUUCCUCAGCCAUGAAACCAGAGGGGGUCUCGAGUAUGGCUAGUUCCCAGCCAGAGAGAAGGCCCCAGCCGGAUGACUCCCCACAGAAUGCCGGUAGCGAGGG
rnacentral:lncRNA from 1 species